rnacentral:lncRNA from 1 species
UGGCGUCGGCCUCGCAAAUCGGGAGCGACGGACCCAGGCCGGCUCGCCAGAAUCGGGGUGUUUGCUCGAGGGUGAGGGGGUGGCAGAAGCUGUCGGCCUUCUUCAUCUGUCUGUAGGUCCUGCAUUUCUGUGUUUGUGUUUCUUUCCCGGAGCUCGCAAGGUAUGCGCACGCUUUUCACGCCGCCUCUGGAGGCGAGGAAGUGCCUUUUGCUCCUGAGGCGAAUGAAGGAGAAGCAGCAGUCUGAGGUGAGACAGCAUUCAACAGAACCUCAUCAAAUGCUUUUAGAGUCCUUUGAGAAGAACUGCUGUUGUGCUUGAAAAUUUAAUAUUACCUGUUGUAAAACUUUACUGUUGUUUGAAAGUUGACUUUCCCAUUCUCCCUAUCCUCAUUUAAUAAUGAAAAGGGUUACAUUUAAAGAUACUGCUAUCUUUUACCACAGAUAGUUCCUCUAAAAACACAACAGUUCUUAAAUGCAUGGUUUUAUGAUUGCAAUACUUGGCCGAGGAUGAAAACUAUAAUCUGAUUCCUUGCAUACUUUCAGUGAUACGCAAAAAUCUGAUGGAUUAAAGGAUUUUCUGAGGCCAGAACUAAUAUCCAUAUUUGGUCAUUCUUUGUUUUUAAAUUAAGGUCUUUUUUUAACAUCUGAGCAGUGAAGGUUUCAGUAGCUCUAGGAGGAUUUUUCUCUAAAGAUACUUGGAUGUAAACCUUGUCAAUUGAUCUCAACUAGAUUUUUGUUGCUGGAGAAUAUGUUGCUAUAACAGCACACGUCUAUAAAGAUUUUAAAGGACUUAGAAGAUGCUUGUUUUAGUCAAAUGUUUUCUAUGAUUGAAACAAGAUGAGAAAAACAGUGAGUAUAUUCUAAUUUCCAAAACAGUCUUUGCUCUUGUUAUGGUUUUUAUACCAGUUCUGACCUUAGUUCAGUGUAUUAAAGUGAGGCAGCCAUGAAACUGAGAACAUAAGUAUUUGCAAUCAGUUGACAGCAUUGCACAUGAAAAUGAAAUAUUUCUCUUUGAUGCAGAACAAAGAAUGGGAGUGUUUGAAGAAUAAGAAUUGUAAUUAAAAGUCAUAUUCUACUUUCUCUCUUUGGUGAGCAUUUGUUGUAAUAGUCUUUCUUGGCAUCUGUCUACAAAAAAUAAACACGCUGCUGAAACUUUU